GAAAUGCGAUAAGUAAUGCGAAUUGCAGAAUUCCGUGAGUCAUCGAAUCUUUGAACGCACAUUGCGCCCUUUGGUAUUCCGAAGGGCAUGCCUGUUCGAGCGUCAUUUUCACCCCUCAAGCCCGGCUUGCUGUUGGGUCGCGCCGUCUGAACGCGGUGGACCCGAAAGACAAUGGCGGAGCCCGUGUGGACCCCCGGAUGCAACGAGCUUCCACGCACGCAUCUGGGCGGCCUCGGGCUCCCCCUUGACCAGAAUUUCUCCGAUUGACCUCGGAUCAGGUAGGGAUACCCGCUGAACUUAA
rnacentral:misc_RNA from 1 species